rnacentral:rRNA from 1 species
UACGUAGGGAGCAAGCGUUGUUCGGAUUUACUGGGCGUAAAGGGCGCGUAGGCGGCGCAACAAGUCACUUGUGAAAUCUCCGGGCUUAACCCGGAGCGGCCAAGUGAUACUGUCGUGCUAGAGUGCGGAAGGGGCUACUGGAAUUCUCGGUGUAGCGGUGAAAUGCGCAGAUAUCGGGAGGAACACCAGUGGCGAAGGCGGCACUCUGGGCCGGUACUGACGCUGAGGAGCGAAAGCGUGGGGAGCGAACAGG